rnacentral:rRNA from 1 species
ACGGCUCAGUAACACGUGGACAAUCUGACCUGAAGUGGAGGAUAAUCCCGGGAAACUGGGGGUAAUACUCCAUAUUCCGGAGAAACUGGAAUGUUCUUCGGAAGAAAGAUUUAUCGCUUCAGGAUGAGUCUGCGGCCGAUUAGGUAGUUGUUGGGGUAACGGCCCAACAAGCCUGUAAUCGGUACGGGUUGUGGGAGCAAGAGCCCGGAGAUGGAUUCUGAGACACGAAUCCAGGCCCUACGGGGCGCAGCAGGCGCGAAAACUUUACAAUGCGGGCAACCGUGAUAAGGAAACCCCGAGUGCCAGCAUAGGCUGGCUGUCCACCAGUGUAAACAGCUGGUGAAGAAAGGGCCGGGCAAGACCGGUGCCAGCCGCCGCGGUAAUACCGGCGGCUCGAGUGGUGGCCGCUAUUACUGGGCUUAAAGGGUCCGUAGCUGGAUUUACAAGUCCCUUGAGAAAUCCGCCGGCUUAACUGGCGGGCGUUCAGGGGAAACUGUAAUUCUAGGGACCGGGAGAGGUGAGAGGUACUGCCGGGGUAGGAGUGAAAUCCUGUAAUCCCGGUGGGACCACCAAUGGCGAAGGCAUCUCACCAGAACGGGUCCGACAGUGAGGGACGAAAGCUGGGGGAGCAAACCGGAUUAGAUACCCGGGUAGUCCCAGCUGUAAACGAUGUGCGUUAGGUGUGUCAGUGACCACGUGUCACUGAGGUGCCGAAGGGAAACCGUGAAACGCACCGCCUGGGGGAGUACGGUCGCAAGGCUGAAACUUAAAGGAAUUGGCGGGGGAGCAC